UCAUAGGAAUCAAGAUGUUUCGGACUACACCGUACCAUGACAUGGGAAUGGAUGGUUCUACUGAACAUUAGAACCGAACAUUGCAUAGGUAGGACAUUACAUAGGAAUCAUUUACUUCCAUUAGGGAAUGUUUUCAACAUUUCGAAAGAAGAAGUUAAUGAAGAAAGGAAAAGUAAUGAGAAAUUGGUUCCUACGAAAGUAUUAGAAAAAAAUACUUCAUUUCAAGAUGGAGUUGAUACACAUUCAAAACUGGUCGAUCGUACUCGGAAGAAAGAGUAUAGAAAGCUAAGAAAGGAUAUGCAAAGAAGUGAAAGUGACCUCACUGAUUCAGAAGAGGAUUCAGGAGAGUAUGUAUCCAUAGAGGGUCGCAAUUAAACCUUAUCCAAUGGUUGGUGAUACGAAAACGAUAAAAGAGAUGAAAUUGACAAAGAAGAAGCCAGGGAUAAAAUAGAAAAACAGAACUGAUGUUUCAGAAGAGAUUGAUCUAGAGUUAAAACAUACAGAUGAGGUUAGUACAGAAACGAUGGGCAGAGAUACUGAUAAAGAAUCUUCACCUAUUGAAGCCAGGGGUAAAAUAGAAAAACAGAACUGAUGUUUCAGAAGAGAGUGAACCAGAGUGGACAUGAUCAUCAAGACCAAGAAAGAACUGAAGGAAUAUCAUCUUUACCAACAGACAGAUAGCUCUGCAGAAGCAAAAUGUUUCUAUUGGUAAGAACUUAGUGUCUUCAGGAUUGUUUUACAAACUACCACCUGAUUUAGUUCAUAACAUUGUACAGUCUAUAAUGCAGUUGUAAAUAAUUUAUGAAUAAUGUACAUAACUUUAAAUUUUAUUAUAUUUCAAUAAGUAUUGAUGUAAGAAUAUUUAAUCUUUUGUUUCAUUCUUUGAAACUUGAUUACAAUGUAAAGAGAAAAUAUUUUUUAAGCAGAUGUUACACUAAAGUAUUUUUGAACAUUUUCAUUGAAUGCUUAUUGUAAAUACAUUUUUCAUUUAUUUAAUUCCUUCACACUUUUGUAUAUAAGUUCAUUUUUGUUUAUUUUUGGAAUAUUCUGGAGUUUCAUAGUCAAUCAGGUAAUUCUUUUUAUUAGAUACUAAUAUUGUUGGACACAAUUUUGCUAGCAGGUGAAAAGAAUGAAAUACUAUAUAUAUUUUUGGUCUAGUAAAAUAUACAGUUAAUAUUGUCCUUAUGAGAUUGUUGUGUUUUAUGAUAAGAAUUUGAAAAGAACAUUAUCUGUCAUUCAUUUUUCUUUUGUACAGGCUAAUUUUUGUAUUUGAUUUUUUACUUAAGCUUUAAGUAAAUUAAUGACCGGGCGUCAUUGUACAGACAGGGAAAGUGUGUAGUAGUGUCCGAAAAACAUCUUUUUGCUAUAUAUUACUUUGUGAUGUUUCGUAUCUUUGCAAUAAUUAUAUUGAUAUUGAAUAACCUUUUAUGUGGAAGUUUAGCGGGAGUUUGUUAAACUUGAGCUCAAGGCGGGUAAUUUGACGUGGGUUACAUAUUUAUCGUUUAAGGUAAGUAAAUGUCAAUUUCUUAAUACGUUACUUGUUCCUGUUUAACAGCAACAAUUUUAGUAUUUUGGAAGAAAAAGCUUUGUGUGAUAGAAGGGUAACUGAGAGGUUUACAUGCUACUUAAGUUUGAACAAAAAUGUAAAAGACAUAUCUAGAGUUAUUUGAAGGAAGUCAAUUGAUAAAUCAUAAUUGUAUGUGUACAGAAAAACGAAAAUAAAAUUUAUCUUUAAAAUGAAGCUGACCUUUUGAAAAUUUUAUCCGCCCAGAUCUUCCUCUAUGCAUUACGAAAGGACACAUUGUAUGUUUUAUUAAACUUAUUGAUUAAAAUAUGAGACCAUGGUUGUGAGUGUUAUGGCACUACUAUAACCGAUAACAUGUAUUAUUUUGUGCGUUAAAAUUACAAGUGUGUACUAUUCUUCGAGGAAACCUCGCGAUAAUUAAAUUAUUUAAAAUGAUCUAAACGAUGUGCAUGAAUUCAAAUACACACAUAUAUCAAUUCCUUCUGGGUAAUCUAAGUCAAUAGAUUGUUACAACAGACAUUUUGAGUUUUACACUUAAAUUAUACAUAAUCUAAUGCUAAUUAAUAUAAAAUAGUCAUCAUUCUGACACAUUUAGAUAAUACUGUGUGGAAUCUUUGUAUUUUCAUCGUCUUCAAUAGUUUAAAUAUAUAAAUUACCAAUAGUAUUUUUCUAAUCUUAAAACAUAUUAAAAAGCCUGCUUUCAUUUUGUAGGGUCAUAAUAGACAUUUAAAGAAUAUGUGAAUAUGGCAUACACUGAAACACAGACGAAACAAUGUGCUUGUGAACAGAUAUUUAAAAUUCCCUCUGGCCAGUGUUCAAAUAGAGAUAAUGAGAAUCACCGAAGAAAGUCCAAAACGGCAAAAUUGAAUAUAUUGCAAACCUGUUCAUGGACCGGUACUGUCAAGUGCAAACUACGUCCGCGCCCCCUAGCACCGGCUUAAGCAGAAAUCAACAUGUGAAAAUGAAAAUGGUGAAAUUUUGAAUCUUGAAAAAUCCACAGAUGUGUUAAUAUGACGGUUAUCAUGGAACAAUCUUAAAUGUGACACGUAAAUGCCAUUCCAUGAAAAACAAUGUAUGGUCCUAAGUAAUAGAAAGCGUGUGCCCUUAAGGAGAAACAAUGGGCGGAGCUAAAGAAAGUAUAAUUUUGAAAGGGGAUCAAAGGUUAUGAAGCUUGCACACCACAGAUAAGACGCCAAAAGAAAAAGUUAAAAAGCAGGCAACAUAAACCCAAGGUGAUUCAUCAUUAUUCAAGUAGGGAUAUUAAAACCACCAAACUAGAAAAUGCCAAAUAAUAAUAAGAAUAAAAAUACCGAAAACACAACAAUUAUGUCGUGCUUAACGAUUUUUAAAGAUCGAAAAUAUAACAUCUCUGAUUGAAUGUACGCGGUGAACCCUCAAGGCCUCCAUAUGGCACAAACACCGCUUAUGUGGCGAUAAAAUAAAGACAAAUAAAAUUCCAAAAGAAAGUAAAAAGGGGCAAAAUUGAAAAUGUUGCAGGCUCGGUUUGAUUAAGCCUGUUCUUGGACGGUACUGUCCAAUGUAAACUAGAGCCUCUAGCACAAGUUUAAGCAUAAUUUAAAGAUCCUGUUACAAUUUUUUUUGAUGGUUUUAUUCUAUACACAUGAUGCUCAAAUUAAGAUUUGUCAAUAUUGUAAGUUCCAAUAAACAUUAUUUAUAAAGAUAUUACCGUAAAUGAAGAUUUCACGUAAAUAAAGGGAGGUAAUUACAAAUGUAUUUUCUAUAAAUUCUAAGUCAAAUUUUCUAAUAAGAAAUGAAUGCAUAUAAUUUAUUAAUUAAAUAUAAUGUGCACAAAUAUUUGCAGUACACAUUUUACAUAUUCUUUGGUAUUUGAAAAUUGUUUAAUGUGCAUAAUUAUAUACAUAUAUAAUUUUUUGCAAGUGUGGUAUACACACAGUAACAAUAUCAAUCACAAAACUUACAGGAUCUUUAAUAUUUAAAAAAGGAAAAUGAGGAAAUUUUGAAUCUAGUAAUAUCCGCAGAUGUGUUCAUACGGCGGUUACCAUAGAACAUUUAAUGUGACACGUAAGUCAUCAUUUCGAAUGAAAUAAAGGGAUUUGUAGAAUUUUACAUCGAAAACCUAAUAAAGAUGCCAAUAAAUAAACUUAAACAUCCUUAUUGUUUUGUCAAUCGUUUUAUUGCUUUCUUAUUUGAAAAAGUUACCUGCCUGUGUGCUUAAGGUUGCUGACUUCAAAAUUAUGUGCCCCAAAUAGCCGCCCUGUUCAUAUCCGUCAGGUGAUAAACAAAUGACGAAAGGAGCAUUUGAUGCUAAAUAUAGCAAAAUGUAAAAAGACAGUAUUUUGAUUUCCAAAAUACUAGUUAACUAUAAUUAUACCAAGUGCAAAACAGCACAAGUAAAGAAAAGAUAGCUCAUCGAUAUAGCCAAUGAGUACUUAUUUUGCAACUUAAACAAGAAACCGAAAAUUGAAGUUGAUUCAAAAAUAAAAAUGAUGUCAUUCGUCGGCUAAGUUAAUGGGGUCUUUAAAAAAAGCCUGAGUGAGUAAAUAUGAUACCAUCUGUAAUAACCUAAAUUCAAGCUAUUACAUUCCUCGGUAUUAUUGAAAACUGCAGUAUUAUAAGUAAGUAGGUAAGUAAAUUGUUUAUUAAGGUGGCAUGUGUUAUUUACAAUAUAAACAUAUACAAAUAUUUAAUUAAAGGUAUUAAACACCCGGCCACAUGGGCCUAUUAAUCACUGUCAAAUUUGAUUUAGUAUCUAUAUAUAGUUCUUAUUAAACACAAAAGUAGUGCAAGUUCAAUUUCAAAUACAUGGACGAUGUAUGUAAAAUAGUAUAUUUCAUUUUUUAUUUGUUCUUGCUCACAAAAUGUAAAUUUCCUUUGGUUAAUGUGUUCACCGAUAACACGUCCUGUUUCGACUAUUAUGGGUAGAAUCCCGUACCGUAACUGUGCCAGCAAUAAGCGUUCAUGCUUCUCAAAAUUGAACAAUAUAUAUUGUUCGGUUUAAAAAUUUGUUUUAAAUGGUUAAUUUGUUAAGUUUUCGGUUACUUUGUACAGAUGUUUGCCAUUGUUUGGUAAACAUACUAGUUUUAUUUGCUACUUUUGCAUUAGCCGGUCUCCUUUCUGUGAAAUAGGAACUGAGACCCAAUGAUAUCAUUAUUUGUUCUAUAUCGUUAGACCAUUGUUUUUGGAACAUAACAUAGUCUGCAGUUAAAACUAUUUAGGUAGUCUUUGUUGUCCUUUGAUUUAUACAAAAUAGCGUAGCAUAUAUAUCCACCUUCUGAACUUGCUUGUCAACAACCUUAUAUCCCCUGUAAUUGCUGCCACGGGCGCUAAUCGAUGUAGUCCUAAAAGUAUCGUACAGCUCCAUUUUGCACACUGUCUAUUGUUUGAUAAUAACUUUAUCCCAACACAUUUGAACAAUAAUCUAGCACUGGUACGACAAAAUUGUAGAACAUUUUUUAAAGGAUUUAAAUCCAAUUUCUUUCAAAUGCAUUAUGUUAAUUAAAACUCCCUUAAGCCCUGCCUGCAUUUUUUCAGUGUUUUAUAGUGUAUGAUAUAAUCUGUAUUUUCUCCUCAGAUAAUGCCUAGGUAUUUAUAUUUACUAACUGUUUUCAAGGUUUAUGAAAUAGUAAGAUAUUUGUUUCUCCGACAGAAACAUCAAGGUCAUAGCAAUUAUGUCUGCUACUUGAUCGUUUAUUAAAACAGCAAAAUGUGUCUGCGACAACGAAUUUCCCUGGACCACGCAUUUUUUACAGUCGAUCCACUGAAUCAUUAUAUUGUUGAUACGUACACAUGAUACUGUUUGAUCGUAGUAUGAUUUUAUUGCUGUGUAAAUUUUCCAGGCAAUGCCCGAC